AAAUCUCAAACAUAUAUUUUGCACUUUGGUUAUUAGGUAAUACGGUUUGCCCUCAACUAUCGAGUAAAGUUUAGAAGCAAAUUCCCAAGCAGGUCAGGGAUUGAUGACUGUUCCUUGACUACCUGGAACAGGGCAUGGUGGCAUUUCUAUAAUCUAGCACAUCCAAAGCAGAUGUGCUAGUCUCCUGUUCAUGGUUGCAACACAAUUGGGGGAAAAACAGUGGGAGUUGCUUUAACAGGGGAGUAGUGGUAUCGUAGAAGAGGAACAAUGAGCUGUUGCAGCGGGCUUCUGGAAUGCAGACCACGUUCGUAUAAAUGGACCACUCUGUCGUACGUGAUAAAUCCUAUUCUGGCUGUUGGAAAAGAGAUCAAUCUACCCAGUUCAGUCAGUAAAGUAUCGCAAAACAGCGGUAGAUAUCCGGUGGCCCAGGCUUCGGGACUCGUGUCUAACAGUGAUGCCGACAUUUCUUUCUAAAACAGCACCAAACUGCCUAGCAUAAAGGUCAAUGGAAUGUGUUCUACUUCAAUGGCAUCGCAGUCUAAAUGGCUAAAGAACUAUUGCUGCAGAACCAUUGGAUAAUACAGUGGAUACAGUCAAAGCAAAAAAAGGUAGGUUGGCUGGGAUAAAGGCGAUUCUAACAACAUAGGAGAUCCCUCCUGUCACCUAGAAAUGUAAAUUCAGGUCUUCGAAAAGGUUAAUAGCAG